GGGCUCGUAGCUCAGGGGUAGAGCACACGCUUGAUAAGCGUGGGGUCGGAGGUUCGAAACCUCCCGGGCCCACCA
rnacentral:tRNA from 1 species